UGGCUCAGUGGUAGAGUGCUUGCUUCGCAUGCAUGAAGCCCUGAGUUCAAUUCCUCAG
rnacentral:tRNA from 1 species